ensembl:lncRNA
GAAAGGAUCUUGCUCUGUUGCCCAGGCUGGAGUGCAGUGGCACGAUCCCAGCUCACUGCAACCUCCGCCUCCUGGGUUCAAGCAAUUCCUCUGCCUCAGCCUCUUGAGAAGCUGGGAUUACAGGCACACGCCACUACGCCCGGCUAAUUUUUGUAUUUUCAGUAGAGACGGGGGUCUUACCAUGUUGGCCAGGCUGGUCUCGAACUCCUGGAUUCAAGUGAUCUGCCCGCCUCGGCCUCCCAAAGUGCUGGGAUUACAGGCGUGAGCCACCGCGCCCGGACGAAAAAAACAUUUUUAAGAAAACUUACCUGGCAGAACUGUCUUCGGACUAAGGGGUCACAAGCAAAAAUUUUCACAUUUCCUAUCAAUGUAUAGUCUACCCGCUCAUUUUCAACAGAAAAACAGCAACAGAUACUAGAAAAGUUACAUUUUUGUUAGAAUAAUUUCAUCAUUAGCCGUUUCUGAUAGGCAGUAAAUGCCAUUGGAUCAGAACGCGCCAGAAACCAAGAUGUUCUAGAAACCCAGAGCCAAUAUGUCUGACUCUUAAAAUCACAGCAAGGAUAAAAUAGAGGUGAUAGAAGCACAAGACCAGACAGGGAUAGAAGAAAAAAUAAAGACUGGCUUUAACCAGGUAAUUAUUUUGUAACAGAACAUAGCACCAUUUGAGCAUCUUCACUUGCUAUUUACUUUUGGUUUUUGCCAUUUUUCUUGGGAGAUGGGGAGCAGCACACAAAAAAGAGUGAGAUAAGUUGUACUAAUUUCUUUCUAUUUUAAAUCCCCAGAGACGACAGUACAUUAAGGCACUACAAUACACGUCUCAUAAUAGCUCCUUGUGGCACUGAUUUGUAAACGUUGUAAGAAGGGACAGCUAACUAGGAUCAGACCCAGGACUUCAUUAGAAUGGAAUAAACCAAAUAGAAGUGGGUCUUCUUUCACCAUGUUUUCUCUGCAGAGAGGGAGGAGAUGAGGCUCAGAGGUGCAUAGCUGCGGACCUGACGAAAUGGCUGGUGCCCUGUGAAAGUCCCGAGUUUCUUCAGAAGAGACAAUAGGAUAUCCCAGGCAGAGCUUUCAUGAGCAAGCCUGGCCCCACCCUGGUGGAGCAAGACACUUUUGUCUAGUCCCUGGAGUAGAAUGGAGAGGCCCCCAAGCAGUGAGAAGUGCCGAACAUGCCUCCACUCCGUCGAGGUUACCCUAAGACCCUCCUCUGCCAAGCGAUGAGACGCCAAGCUCGGAGCUGGGAAACUGGAACUAACAAAUAAAUAAUAGCAGGGCCGGGCGCAUAAGCCUGUCUGUCAGGAGCAGUUUGCAUACUUUUUCAAAUAACUAUUAGCGUUGUCGGACGCCCAGUCUAACAGCCACGGGGGUGAAAGGAACCAGGGCCCAGUACCAGAGCGCCCAUUCCGGGCAGCCCCCAAACUCCUCAUCCGCAGACUGGCCGCUUUAAGGGUCCCCUACCCCCGCCCCGGGGCCUUGUUUCCAGAGACCGGCCCCCGGGAGGGCUCGGCAUCGCGCGCAGAAGGCGGCGCCCCAGGAAGACAAAGGCUCGGACUCGCCGGGCCUGGCGGCAGCGCAGACGCCAAACGCCAGCCCCAUACCCAGCCCCUCUGGCACCCGAAGGCGCGGCAUCUCCCGCCUCGCGACCCCCACGCCUUCCCGUCCCCAUGGUCCUCUGGCUCCUGCAAGGCCGC